AUCGAGGGGCAGCAGGUCUGUAGCAAUACAGAUGCUGGCGACCGGCAAACGGGUGCGGAACACGUACAGAACCUUCCUUCGAGCGGGGAAUAGCCCAGAGAAAUUUGGAUUAAUACCCCAUAGUAUACUGAAGAGGCAUCUCUUUAGUAUUAAAGAUUUAUCACUUGAAGAUGGCUGUGCGGCUGAUUAGGUAGUUGGCGGGGUAAAGGCCCACCAAGCCUGCGAUCAGUAACUGGUGUGAGAGCACGACCAGUCACACGGGCACUGAGACACGGGCCCGACUCCUACGGGAGGCAGCAGUAAGGAAUAUUGGUCAAUGGACGAAAGUCUGAACCAGCCAUGCCGCGUGAAGGAUGAAGGUCCUCUGGAUUGUAAACUUCUUUUAUAUGGGACGAAAAAAGGGUUUUCUAACUCAACUGACGGUACCAUAUGAAUAAGCACCGGCUAACUCCGUGCCAGCAGCCGCGGUAAUACGGAGGGUGCAAGCGUUAUCCGGAUUCACUGGGUUUAAAGGGUGCGUAGGUGGGUUGGUAAGUCAGUGGUGAAAUCCCCGAGCUUAACUCGGGAACUGCCAUUGAUACUAUCAGUCUUGAAUACCGUGGAGGUCAGCAGAAUAUGUCAUGUAGCGGUGAAAUGCUUAGAUAUGACAUAGAAUACCAAUUGCGAAGGCAGCUGGCUAC
rnacentral:rRNA from 1 species